rnacentral:snoRNA from 1 species
UAUACUUAACAUCCUAUACAGUGUUCAAAGGUCAGUGCAAAAGAGAUUCAGUAUUUGGCAUCAUUGUUUUUCUUACCUUCAUUCAUGUUUAACCUGGUAUUUCUAUUAAUACACUA